rnacentral:rRNA from 1 species
AUGAACGCUAGCUACAGGCUUAACACAUGCAAGUCGAGGGGCAGCAUGAACUUAGCUUGCUAAGUUUGAUGGCGACCGGCGCACGGGUGAGUAACACGUAUCCAACCUGCCGAUGACUCGGGGAUAGCCUUUCGAAAGAAAGAUUAAUACCCGAUGGCAUAGUUCUUCCGCAUGGUAGAACUAUUAAAGAAUUUCGGUCAUCGAUGGGGAUGCGUUCCAUUAGGUUGUUGGCGGGGUAACGGCCCACCAAGCCUUCGAUGGAUAGGGGUUCUGAGAGGAAGGUCCCCCACAUUGGAACUGAGACACGGUCCAAACUCCUACGGGAGGCAGCAGUGAGGAAUAUUGGUCAAUGGACGAGAGUCUGAACCAGCCAAGUAGCGUGAAGGAUGACUGCCCUAUGGGUUGUAAACUUCUUUUAUACGGGAAUAAAGUGAGGCACGUGUGCCUUUUUGUAUGUACCGUAUGAAUAAGGAUCGGCUAACUCCGUGCCAGCAGCCGCGGUAAUACGGAGGAUCCGAGCGUUAUCCGGAUUUAUUGGGUUUAAAGGGAGCGUAGGCGGACGCUUAAGUCAGUUGUGAAAGUUUGCGGCUCAACCGUAAAAUUGCAGUUGAUACUGGGUGUCUUGAGUACAGUAGAGGCAGGCGGAAUUCGUGGUGUAGCGGUGAAAUGCUUAGAUAUCACGAAGAACUCCGAUUGCGAAGGCAGCCUGCUGGACUGUAACUGACGCUGAUGCUCGAAAGUGUGGGUAUCAAACAGGAUUAGAUACCCUGGUAGUCCACACAGUAAACGAUGAAUACUCGCUGUUUGCGAUAUACAGUAAGCGGCCAAGCGAAAGCGUUAAGUAUUCCACCUGGGGAGUACGCCGGCAACGGUGAAACUCAAAGGAAUUGACGGGGGCCCGCACAAGCGGAGGAACAUGUGGUUUAAUUCGAUGAUACGCGAGGAACCUUACCCGGGCUUGAAUUGCAACUGAAUGAUGUGGAGACAUGUCAGCCGCAAGGCAGUUGUGAAGGUGCUGCAUGGUUGUCGUCAGCUCGUGCCGUGAGGUGUCGGCUUAAGUGCCAUAACGAGCGCAACCCUUAUCGAUAGUUACCAUCAGGUUAUGCUGGGGACUCUGUCUAGACUGCCGUCGUAAGAUGUGAGGAAGGUGGGGAUGACGUCAAAUCAGCACGGCCCUUACGUCCGGGGCUACACACGUGUUACAAUGGGGGGUACAGAAGGCAGCUACACGGCGACGUGAUGCUAAUCCCUAAAGCCUCUCUCAGUUCGGAUUGGAGUCUGCAACCCGACUCCAUGAAGCUGGAUUCGCUAGUAAUCGCGCAUCAGCCACGGCGCGGUGAAUACGUUCCCGGGCCUUGUACACACCGCCCGUCACACCAUGAGAGUUGGGGAUACCCGAAGCCUGUGAGCCAACAGUUAAAUGAGGCAGCAGUCGAAGGUAGAAUCAAUGAUUGGGGUG